CUAUGACUCCAUGGUAAUACAAGAGUACUCUAAUUACUUACAUUUAUUUUUGUAAUCACUAAAACUAUCUUCAAGUUUUAUAUACAGAACAAGAAAAUAAAAACCAAAUAAAAAUACAUAAAAACUUUUUAAAGAGAAAGACAUGCAACUAACAUGACAUGUGCCUGCCAUCAUCUCCAUUCUUCUACUUGUAUAUUACAUGUUUUUCUGCCACAUUUUUUUGACUCAGCUCUUCAGAGCAAGGACUUUUUCCUUAAGUGUCUGUAUAGUACCUACUACAAAUGUGGCACCUAUCCAGUUUGGGACCUCUGAGCAGUGAAGCAUUUAAAAGAAACAUGAUGAUCUGCUAUCCAGUUUGAAGAGGGGCUACUCUACGAUUAGAAGUCACCGGAAAUGGAAGAAUCACGAAAGAACCUGAACACAAAGUAAGCACACACCCAAAAAACUCUCCUCAUCACAUAGAAGAAAGUGUAAAUACAGGAGCCGAAAAUUUUACAGGAGCCAAAUUAAUGAAUCAGUAACCUCAAAGCUCUCACCUCCAUGGGGAGACUCUCGGAUAUCCCAAAUGAGAACCCGGCCAUCGUCGGAUGAACUGGCAAAGACGUUAUCAUUCACUGGACUCACUGAAAGGCCAUACACUGCAUCUUCAUGUGCAAACACAUCCAAGGUCUCACUGCUGCAAGACAAACAUGUAUUAUUUCCCCUCUUUUUGGUGUACAUUGUUUCAGGAGGCAAUUGAUAGCCAUAGUUUUGUCACCUGGCAGUACUGAGAGACAAGAUUAACACCGCUCAGACUAGAUAUGAAGUUCUUGUUAUGGAGUUAAAAAACAAUAUUUGCUAACUAAACACCUACAUAUCUAUCACAAAAAGCUUCCAAAGUGUGAAGGUGGUUACAAGAGUGAAUUUGCAU